GCUUGAUAGGAAUUUGAAUGCUGUGGAAGAUGUAUUUAUUAUUAUGUUUUUGAGCCUGGGAUUUUGUUUCUCUCUUCCAACAUUGGUUUUUAUUUCUUUUUCUGUUGUUUGUUUUGUUAAUAUUCUUUUUGGUGAGAACUUGAUAGCUUUUUCUUGACGUCUUGAUUGAUAGGAUCGAAUUAUUUUUUCUGAAGAGGCUGUUUUUGAGAAGGAACACUUUUCUUUCUUAGUUUUUCUUAGAUGGGAGAUCUUUGACUCUAAUAAUUGAUUGUAAUAUCAUAGAUUUCAUAAUUCUUUGGGUUAUUUAGGUUAAUCAAGCUUUGGGAAGAGUUUACAUCUUGAAAUUCAAUACAGAUGAUCAAAAGUUUUUCAUUUGGAUGCAGGCCAGGUUCAUUUUCUGUGUUUUUCACUCUCUUAUGUGUAACAUUGACUCAGCUGUUAGUUGCAU
rnacentral:lncRNA from 1 species